rnacentral:rRNA from 1 species
AAACCGGGGCUAAUACCGGAUAACAUUUUGAACCGCAUGGUUCGAAAUUGAAAGGCGGCUUCGGCUGUCACUUAUGGAUGGACCCGCGUCGCAUUAGCUAGUUGGUGAGGUAACGGCUCACCAAGGCAACGAUGCGUAGCCGACCUGAGAGGGUGAUCGGCCACACUGGGACUGAG